GGAGAGGUGGUUCAGCGGUUAAGAGCUCUGACUGCUCUUCCAGAGGUCCUGAGUUCAAUUCCCAGCAACCACA
rnacentral:tRNA from 1 species